ensembl:lncRNA
CCACUUCUGCCUGAAGAAGGACAAUAAUAUUAUAUUACAAGGUAAAAGAGAAGAUCAUAUGCUCCAUAAAGUUUAUAAAAACGGUGUUGAGUUGUUCAGCAGUGGAUCAGUGAAGAUCAGCCACUGUGUGAAAAACCACUCAGGAGAAUAUCAGUGGGAAACGUUCCACUCUGAUGGAAAAGUGCAGUGUGACGUCACCUUCAUGCUCCAGAUUCACAAUGAGUUCACAGAGAAGACUGACACCAAUUCCUGUGCAGCCAUGAUGGUUUCUCCUGCCUCUCUGCACCCUCUAGCGGCCAUGUGACAAAUAUCACUUCAUAAAUCAUCAUCAUCAUCAUCAUCUCUCCAGUCCUGACCUUCACUCUCUCUGUCAGCCAUCUGCUGAAUCUCAACAUUCUUCCAACAGCAUGAAUAAAAACAACGAGUCGUUAUUAACACCAGACUGUUCUUCUACAAAGACCGCACUGAGAGAACAGAUCUGUGUGGACAGUAAAGUUUUCCUGUUGCUGUGUGGAGCGAUGGCAGUGUUCCUCACACUCAUCACUGCAGUGUGCUGCCUCACCAUCACGCUGAAGACCACAUCACAACCCUGUGAUCAUUCCCCUGACUUCAUUCCCAAAGUCGACAUCUUAUACGCAGAAGUGGACGUUCGUAGCGAAAGAAUGAGAAAGAGGAAAGAAGCUGAAACUCUGGAGAGUGAGACAGCGAUUUACUCCGAGGUGGCACAGGAAAUUAACUGGGAGACAGGGAAUCAAACUUUCACCACAUACAGACUGAAUUAAAUUAACCGAGUCCAUUAUUCUGCUCAGGAAUGCUUCUGAUUUACCUGUGUUGCUAAGCAGUACCCAAAGGGGUGCCAAAACCUUUUAACAUGC